AUUGAGUCUAAAUAAAGUAACAGUUCAUAAGUCUUACCAUUAAGAGUUGCAACAAAAACGAUUUAAUCAGAAUAAGAAGAUACUAAAAAACAAUCUAUAUAUGCUUUAAAAGUUUUCCAGUCUUCGUUUUUUAACAGAAAUUAUUCCGAAAAAAAAUUGAAUUUGCUCGAGAAUUCCAAUCGAAUUUCAAAUAUAUCGCAGACGUUAGCAGUUCAUAUAAGAAGUCUGCAAUAUUACUAAAAUCUAAAUGAAAUCGAAAAACAUGUGCGAAAACAAUGUUUUGCAUGGGUAUGCUUUUCGGUAGUGAUGAGAACAGUUGUCGUUUAGACAAAGGCCGCGUUAUGCAUACGAUCAAAUAAUCGUCGAUCACCACAUUGUUUGUUGUUUUCAAUGUAAAUUAAAA